AAAACAUACAUCUCCAACAUCUCCAAAAUCUCCACACACAAACGAUGGAUCAACAGUUUCUCCAACUACACCUAAGAAACCUACUAAUCCAACAUCUUCAACCAGAACCAAACAAUCAACAUCUACUCAAACAAAACCAAAGAAACAUCCUUUAGAACAUCAUUCAGAACAUCAUUCAGAACAUCCUUCAGAACAUCCUUCAGAACAUCCUUCAGAACAUCAUUCAAAACAUCCUUCAGAACAUCAUUCAAAACAUCCUUCAGAACAUCAUUCAGAACAUCCUUCAGAACAUCAUUCAGAACAUCAUUCAAAACAUCCACCCAGAACAUAUGAAUCUACUGUUUCUCCAACGAUACAGCAAAAACAGACUUCUCCAACAUCUCCAAC